rnacentral:rRNA from 1 species
GAUGAACGCUGGCGGCGUGCUUAACACAUGCCAGUCGAACGGAAAGGCCCAAGCUUGCUUGGGUACUCGAGUGGCGAACGGGUGAGUAACACGUGGGUGAUCUGCCCUGCACUUCGGGAUAAGCCUGGGAAACUGGGUCUAAUACCGGAUAGGACCACUUCUUGGAUGUUGUGGUGGAAAGUUUUUUCGGUGUGGAAUGAGCUCGCGGCCUAUCAGCUUGUUGGUGGGGUAAUGGCCUACCAAGGCGUCGACGGGUAGCCGGCCUGAGAGGGUGUACGGCCACAUUGGGACUGAGAUACGGCCCAGACUCCUACGGGAGGCAGCAGUGGGGAAUAUUGCACAAUGGGCGCAAGCCUGAUGCAGCGACGCCGCGUGGGGGAUGACGGCCUUCGGGUUGUAAACUCCUUUCGCUAGGGACGAAGCGUUUUGUGACGGUACCUGGAGAAGAAGCACCGGCUAACUACGUG